rnacentral:hammerhead_ribozyme from 1 species
AUCCAGCUGAAGAGUCCCAAAUAGGACGGGACGUGUGUCCUGGUU